GACGAACGCUGGCGGCGUGCUUAACACAUGCAAGUCGAACGGAAAGGCCCUGCUUUUGUGGGGUGCUCGAGUGGCGAACGGGUGAGUAACACGUGAGUAACCUGCCCUUGACUUUGGGAUAACUUCAGGAAACUGGGGCUAAUACCGGAUAGGAGCUCCUGCUGCAUGGUGGGGGUUGGAAAGUUUCGGCGGUUGGGGAUGGACUCGCGGCUUAUCAGCUUGUUGGUGGGGUAGUGGCUUACCAAGGCUUUGACGGGUAGCCGGCCUGAGAGGGUGACCGGCCACCGUGGGAUGGGGGUACGGCCCGGACUCCUACGGGAGGCAGCGGGGGGGAAUGUUGCACAAGGGGGGGAAGCCUGAUGCAGCAACGCCGGGGGGGGGAUGGCGGCCUUCGGGUUGUAAACCGCUUUCGCCUGGGACGAAGGGGGGGGGAGGGUAAGGGGUAAAGAAACACCGGCUAACUACGG
rnacentral:rRNA from 1 species